rnacentral:lncRNA from 1 species
CUUCCUUUUGCUGUUCAGGGGCAUGCUGGGCAUUGGUCAGAGGGUGGUAAGCAAUUGCUUGUGCAUCACUUCUUAUAUACGUUCAUAUAUAUAUGUAUAUACAUGCAUAUACAUAUAUUCAAACUGUUAUCCUUUUCUUUUUCUCUCUUAGUAUAUAGUUUUAUCUCAACACACAAGUACUACUUACUUCCAUCCCACUGGGCAGGAGGUAACGAGUGAGAAUGACUGAGCAGUGCCAAGGUACCCCCCGGGUUAAACCACAACAGAUAGUUACUGGCCUCUGGUCUUUGGGGAUUUUGUCUGUCUGCUGGCUGCCUCGGGCUAUUAACCUUCCAAAACAUUCACCUCGGAGGCUAAACUUCGCAGUACUUCAGCUUCAAUUCUGAGAAAUGUCUCUAUUCCACAACAACAUGAUAAGUGAGAGUGAAUUAAGUCCCUUGUGCACCAAAUGUAUUUUAUGAGGAUUUGCAAAAUGCAGCAGAAAUUUGGAGGAACUGACAACAGACCUCUCCGAAAGAAACCAGCGAAUUGUGAGACCAAGAUGAAGAAGUGUAUUCUCCUGGAUCCUCGGGUGGCUCAAUUCAGGUUGGCUGAGUUCAGUGCACCGGCUGAGAGCAGGGGCAGCCUGCCAGCACAGCUUCACUUUCUUUGA